rnacentral:miRNA from 1 species
UGUGUAUACAUACUCGCAUGUAUGUGUGUAUUUGUGUGUGCAUGUAUAUAUAUGUAUAUACAACACAUAUACGUACAUAUAUAUAUAUGUACGGUUG